UAACCUCUCACAGGGUGUAAUGCUUUAAAGGAAUCUGUUUCUUUUGGAAAAUAUUGAAGACCAUAAAAUGUUUAAAUAUUGGUACAUUGCCCAUAAAAUAAUGAUUGCCAAGAGGAUUCUGAAAUCCAUAUCAGGAACAAAAUGUUCUUUUCUCUACAGAAUACAGUGGACGGUAAUAAAAUUCUCUCUCUCUCUCUCUCUCUCUCUCUCUCUCUCUCUCUCUCACCUUUAUAGUUACUAGUUUGUUUAAAUAGCACAUUUUGUUAUCACUGUAAAAAAAAAAAACACUGACAUAUUUUUCUUGUAUUUCAAUCAAGUAUUUUACACAGAGGCCAAAGAGUCAGGCCUACUGUAAGCUCUAUUGUCCUUAUUUUAAUUUUCUUCUUCCAUUAGACUUCACUUAAUUCUUUUACUUUGUAUGAAUGUUGCAUGAACUUGAAUGUGCAGGUACAUGCACCUGCAUGCAUGCAUGCAUACAAAGGACAAUGCAGGACUGCAAGUGUUUUUCAAUAUCAUCACACCCCUGCCCCAGUGUAUUGCCUUGAGACAUGCUCUGUCACUGAAUUAGAAGCUCGCUGUUUGGAUAAGCUUGGAUGGGCAGGGAGAUUUGGGGACUCACCUGUCUUCACCCAUUACCUCUAAUGCUGAGGUUAUAUGCUAUAUGCAUACACUGCCAUGACUGACUUUUUACAUGUGUGCUGAAUGUUUAGAUUCAGGUCCUUAUGCUUGUAGAUCAAGUGCUUCCACUGUGCCACUCCAUCAAGUGCAUACAUACACUGUUUCUCUGGCCCUUUCAAUUAUCUUCUAGCAGAUGAUAAAACUCCCUUCCCUAAGGUUCAUCAGGAUGCAAUUGACACAAUAGAUAGUAACUUCAUUUCCUAGUAUAUUUUAUGAGUUCUUUGAUAAUUUCAUGCAAUGUGUUUUGUAUUACUGGUUUGUUCCUCAUGGCUUGUUCAGCCUUCUUUCUUACACAGUUCAGAUCUGUGGGGCCACUGUGGGUGGUGGUGCCUCCCCUGGGUGGGGCCCUCCUGUAUCACUCAGUAAUCAAGAAAAUGCCCUCCAGAUUUGCACACAGACCAAUUUGGUGACGAUAUUUUCUCUAUUGAGAUUCCCUCACUUCCAGAUGAUCCUAGCAAAAACUAGCAAUCAUACAUGUCAUCUGGUGUUAUCUUUGUGCCUCAAAGUGACUAUAGCAGUGCAAACUGAGGAUUCCUCCCUCACUGUUAUUGUGGGUCUAUCUCCAAAGCUUCUUUUUUUGUUUUGUUUUCCUAUUUAGGAUAAAUUUUACUUUAAAAAAAUUCUGAUUCUCGUUGGCUUACAGAGAGGUAUCUUACCCAGAAAUCUUUGUUGAGUCUAUUUCUCUCUUGUAUAUUUUCAUCUCUUGUAAAACUUAAGCUGUACUUCAUCUUCUAAUGUCCAAAGGAUAACUUCAAAUGUAAAUAUUUUUCUGUAUGAAUGUAAAUGUGAUACUUCUGUAUAUAUGUGUGGAUCUCAUGAUGACAGAUAUUUUUUGCUAUAAUAAAAAUAUAUUCAUCAAUAUACACUAUUGAUGUCAGGAGCUGGGGAGAUUGGAGUUAGCUUAAGCUGUUCAGCCCACACAGCAGUGCAAUUUUACUGUGGUUGGAACUCAUAAAAUUUGGGGAAGUGUGGAAAACUUCAAUUUUGUAAUGCUUUGAAGUACUUCUAUGUGUUAAUAUUUCUUGUAACUUUCUUGCCAUGUGAUGACUAUAUUAUUUGCCUCAAUAUGAUAGAAUAAAUUAAGUAAAGUAAG
rnacentral:lncRNA from 1 species